GGUGAAGCUGGUGAGCGCCAUUUUGAAGUUGGGCAGAAAGUGACUCCAGUGGUGGAACCCGGAGCCAACCAUUUUUUAGUUACACACCCCUGUCCUGGCAAGAGCUAGAAGGUGAGCGUGCCAGCUUCUGUGCACACAAGCGCUCAGCAUCCUGGGGCAGCACAGACCACCGAAAAGAGAUUUCCAAGUUGAAGCAACAACUGCAGAGGACGAAGCUGAGCCGCAGUGGGAAAGAGAAGGAGCGAGGUUCCCCACUCCCAGGGGACCAUGCAGUGCGGGGAGCACUGAGGGCGUCCCCUCCCAGCUUCCCCUCAGGGUCCCCUGUCUUGCGACUCAGCCCCUGCCUGCACAGGAGCCUGGAAGGGCUCAACCAAGAGCUGGAGGAGGUGUUUGUGAAGGAGCAGGGAGAAGAGGAGCUGCUGAGGAUCCUUGAUAUCCCUGAUGGGCAUCGGGCCCCAGCUCCUCCCCAGAGUGGCAGCUGUGAUCAUCCCCUCCUCCUCCUGGAGCCUGGCAACCUUGCCAGCUCUCCUUCCAUGUCCUUGGCAUCUCCCCAGCCUUGUGGCCUGGCCAGUCAUGAGGAACA
rnacentral:sRNA from 1 species